rnacentral:rRNA from 1 species
UGAAGCGGAGCAAAUCUCAAAAACCGGUCCCAGUCCGGAUUGUAGGCUGCAACUCGCCUACAUGAAGUCGGAGUUGCUAGUAAUCGCGGAUCAGAAUGCCGCGGUGAAUGCGUUCCCGGGUCUUGUACACACCGCCCGUCACACCAUGGAAGUUGGGGGCGCCCGAAGUUGCCUAAGAAAUAAGGUACCUAAGGCGAAACCAAUGACUGGGGUGAAGUCGUAACAAGGUAAC